AUACGGAGGGUGCGAGCGUUGUUCGGAAUUACUGGGCGUAAAGCGCGUGCAGGCGGUAAGGUAAGUCAGAUGUGAAAGCCCCGGGCUCAACCCGGGAAGUGCAUUUGAUACUGCCUUUCUUGAGUAUGGGAGAGGAGAGUGGAAUUCCCAGUGUAGAGGUGAAAUUCGUAGAUAUUGGGAGGAACACCCGUGGCGAAGGCGACUCUCUGGACCAAUACUGACGCUGAGACGCGAAAGCGUGGGGAGCGAACAGGAUUAGAAACCCGAGUAGUCC
rnacentral:rRNA from 1 species